rnacentral:lncRNA from 1 species
UAGUCUUCCCAACAAUCCUGCAAGAUAUAGAAUCUUGACAUGUUUCUCAGGCUGGUCUGGAACUCCUGGGGCUCAAGUGAUCCACCUGCCUCCACCUCACAAAGUGCUGGGAUUACAGGGCCUAUGGUUCAUCCUGCAAUAUCAGAGAAUAUGCAACUGUUGGAAGCUCAUUUGUGCAGAAGCACUAGUUAGACCAAGUCCCAGGAUGGUGGGGACUUGAACUGCCUCAUGCACAUUGAACCCAAGAGCCUGGCCCAUGAAAGUAAAUCAGUGGAUACUUGAAUAAAGAGAAGAAUAUGCGCUGAA